GACAGAGGGUGACAACGUUGUUCGGAAUUACUGGGCGUAAAGCGCGUGUAGGUGGCGAGGCAAGUCGGGUGUGAAAGCCCUGGGCUCAACCCAGGAAGUGCACUCGAUACUGCCUAGCUAGAGUCCCGGAGAGGUUGGUGGAACUCUCGGUGUAGAGGUGAAAUUCGUAGAUAUCGAGAAGAACACCGGUGGCGAAGGCGGCCAACUGGACGGUGACUGACACUGAGACGCGAAAGCGUGGGGAGCAAACAGGG
rnacentral:rRNA from 1 species